AGCGUCAUUAUCAUCCCUCAAGCCCGGCUUGUCCUUGAACUCUUGUCGUUAUAGACGGGUUCGAAAGAUAAUGACGGUGUCGUGAUCAACCCUAGAUGCAACGAGCUUCACAGCGCGCAUGUUAGUGGCUGGCCGGCCCCGGUCUUAACCUUAUUUCAAUGGUUGACCUCGGAUCAGGUAGGAAUACCCGCUGAACUUAA
rnacentral:misc_RNA from 1 species